rnacentral:rRNA from 1 species
AGGGGGAUAACUACUGGAAACGGUAGCUAAUACCGCAUGAUGUCGCAAGACCAAAGUGGGGGACCUUCGGGCCUCACGCCAUCGGAUGUGCCCAGAUGGGAUUAGCUAGUAGGUGGGGUAAUGGCUCACCUAGGCGACGAUCCCUAGCUGGUCUGAGAGGAUGACCAGCCACACUGGAACUGAGACACGGUCCAGACUCCUACGGGAGGCAGCAGUGGGGAAUAUUGCACAAUGGGCGCAAGCCUGAUGCAGCCAUGCCGCGUGUGUGAAGAAGGCCUUAGGGUUGUAAAGCACUUUCAGCGAGGAGGAAGGCGUUGCAGUUAAUAGCUGCAGCGAUUGACGUUACUCGCAGAAGAAGCACCGGCUAACUCCGUGCCAGCAGCCGCGGUAAUACGGAGGGUGCAAGCGUUAAUCGGAAUUACUGGGCGUAAAGCGCACGCAGGCGGUUUGUUAAGUCAGAUGUGAAAUCCCCGAGCUUAACUUGGGAACUGCAUUUGAAACUGGCAAGCUAGAGUCUUGUAGAGGGGGGUAGAAUUCCAGGUGUAGCGGUGAAAUGCGUA